UACGUAGGGUGCGAGCGUUAAUCGGAAUUACUGGGCGUAAAGCGUGCGCAGGCGGUUUUGUAAGCCAGAUGUGAAAUCCCCGGGCUCAACCUGGGAAUGGCAUUUGGGACUGCAAGGCUUGAGUGCGGCAGAGGAGACUGGAAUUCCUGGUGUGGCAGUGAAAUGCGUAGAUAUCAGGAGGAAUACCGAUGGCGAAGGCAGGUCUCUGGGCUGACACUGACGCUCAUGCACGAAAGCGUGGGGAGCAAACAGG
rnacentral:rRNA from 1 species